rnacentral:rRNA from 1 species
UACGUAUGGGGCUAGCGUUAUCCGGAUUUAUUGGGCGUAAAGAGCGCGUAGGCGGCUAUGUAAGUCGGGAGUGAAAGCCCUCGGCUCAACCGAGGAAGUGCUUUCGAAACUGCAUGGCUCGAGUAUCGGAGAGGAUGGCGGAAUUCCCGGUGUAGAGGUGAAAUUCGUAGACAUCGGGAGGAACACCAGUGGCGAAGGCGGCCAUCUGGACGAAUACUGACGCUGAAGUUCGAAAGCGUGGGGAGCAAAC